UACGUAGGGGGCCAGCGUUGUCCGGAAUUACUGGGCGUAAAGGGCGCGUAGGCGGCCAUCUAAGUCAGACGUGAAAUCCCCCGGCUUAACCUGGGAACUGCGUCUGAUACUGGAAGGCUUGAGUAUGGGAGAGGGAUGUAGAAUUCCAGGUGUAGCGGUGAAAUGCGUAGAUAUCUGGAGGAAUACCGGUGGCGAAGGCGGCAUCCUGGACCAUUACUGACGCUGAGGCGCGAAAGCUAGGGGAGCAAACGGG
rnacentral:rRNA from 1 species